rnacentral:tRNA from 1 species
AAAGGGAGACCUAAUUCAGGUAGGAGACGAAAAAAAAGUAGUCGCUACCAAGAAUCAAUCCCAAAAGGUCGGAGCGAGGCGAAAUUGGCUUUCAAACUAGGUUCUGGGUUCACACAAGACCUGAAUCAGGAACAAGGGCUAUUAGCUCAGGUGGUUAGAGCGCACCCCUGAUAAGGGUGAGGUCCCUGGUUCGAGUCCAGGAUGGCCCACCUGCACAGGUGGCAAAAACAAAGAAAAGAAGCUCCGAAUCAGCACCUUAUCUUACUUAUAUAGUAAGAGAGAAUGCUGGCUCUGAGUUCAGAGUCCAGAGGAACCUUGAAAACUGCAUAGAGCUAGGUGAAAAAGCCAAAAAAGAAGACCGCAAG